UACGAAAGGUGCAAGCGUUACUCGGAAUCACUGGGCGUAAAGCGCACGUAGGCGGACUCGCAGGUCAAUUGUGAAAUACCCGGGCUCAACCUGGGAACUGCAGUUGAAACCGCUUGUCUUGAAUACCUGAGAGGGUGGGGAAUACCUGGUGGAGAAGUGAAAUUCGUAGAGAUCAGGUGGAACACCGGAGGCGAAGGCGCCUGCCUGGCAGUGUAUUGACGCUGAGGUGCGAAAGUGCGGGAGCAAACAGG
rnacentral:rRNA from 1 species